rnacentral:rRNA from 1 species
GUGGGGAAUAUUGGGCAAUGGGCGCAAGCCUGACCCAGCAACGCCGCGUGAGGGAAGAAGGCUUUCGGGUUGUAAACCUCUGUCCUUGGUGACGAAAAAAAUGACGGUAGCCAAGGAGGAAGCCCCGGCUAACUAUGUGCCAGCAGCCGCGGUAAUACGUAGGGGGCGAGCGUUGUCCGGAAUUACUGGGCGUAAAGGGUGCGUAGGUGGCCUUUUAAGUUGGAUGUGAAAUUCCCGGGCUUAACUUGGGGGGUGCAUCCAAAACUGGGAGGCUAGAGUGCAGAGGAGGAAAGCGGAAUUCCUAGUGUAGCGGUGAAAUGCGUAGAUAUUAGGAGGAACACCAGUGGCGAAGGCGGCUUUCUGGACUGUAACUGACACUGAGGCACGAAAGCAUGGGGAGCAAACAGGAUUAGAUACCCGUGUAGUCC